rnacentral:rRNA from 1 species
AUUGAACGCUGGCGGCAGGCCUAACACAUGCAAGUCGAACGAGUGGCGGACGGGUGAGUAAUGUCUGGGAAACUGCCCGAUGGAGGGGGCUAACUACUGGAAACGGUAGCUAAUACCGCAUACCAUCGGAUGUGCCCAGAUGGGAUUAGCUAGUCGGUGUGGUAACGGCUCACCUAGGCGACGCUCCCUAGCGGGGCUGAGAGGAUGACCAGCCACACUGGAACUGAGACACGGUCCAGACUCCUACGGGAGGCAGCAGUGGGGAAUAUUGGAAAAUGGGGGCAAGCCUGAUGCAGCCAUGCCGCGUGUAUGAAGAAGGCUUUCGGAUUGUAAAGUACUUUCAGCGGGGAGGCGUUACUCGAAGAGGAAGCAACGGCUAACUCCGUGCCAGCAGCCGCGGUAAUAC